UACGUAGGGUGCGAGCGUUAAUCGGAAUUACUGGGCGUAAAGCGUGCGCAGGCGGUUUUGUAAGCCCGAUGUGAAAUCCCCGGGCUUAACCUGGGAAUGGCAUUUGGGACUGCAAGGCUGGAGUGUGGCAGAGGAGACUGGAAUUCCUGGUGUAGCAGUGAAAUGCGUAGAUAUCUGGAGGAAUACCGGUGGCGAAGGCGGCAUCCUGGACCGGCAUUGACGCUGAGGAGCGAAAGCCAGGGGAGCAAACGGG
rnacentral:rRNA from 1 species